rnacentral:lncRNA from 1 species
UUUGUCCAACAAGAGUUCUGAGCUUCUCAAAUACAACCCUGUUCAUAAGAAGCUCCCUGUGCUUCUACACAACGGGAAGCCAGUCUGCGAGUCUCUUGUUAUUCUUGAGUACAUAGACGAGACCUGGAAAUCUGAACGUUCUUUACUGCCCGAAGAGCCUUAUGCCAGAGCCAUGGCACGUUUCUGGGCAAAAUUCAUCGAUGAUAAGGUACAUGCAUAUAUCUUUGUCCUGUCAGUCCUGCCGGACUAUCUUUGUCAGUUGGACUAAUUUUACCUGAAACGGGAUUCCUGAUAAGCUCCUCUGACAUAUUAUAUAAUAGGAGCUACAAUAUUUAACUCAUUUGCCAUCGUUUAUUAAUAAUUUCUUUAAAUUCAGUCUAUAUCUUAAAUGUUUACUGAUUGAAUUGGCGCGUUCUUUAAACCAUGACUUCCACUCUUUCAGUGCAUAGCUGCUAUGUGGGGUGCCCGGAAGAACUCAGAGGGACAAGAGGAAGGCAUUGAAGAACUUACGGAACAUUUGAAAACACUUGAAAAUGAGCUCAAAGGCAAGAAGUUUUUUGGUGGAGAUGAAAUCGGAUUAGUUGACAUUACUGCUGAUCUGAUAGCACUUUGGCUUGGUGUAUUACUGGAGUUAAAGGGGAUAGAAUUGCUUACAAAAGAGAAGUUUCCUCGAUUAUGUGAAUGGAUCGAUGAUUACCUUGAUCAUCAAAUUAUUAAGGAGACUUUGCCUGAUAGGGAGACCUACAGGGACUUUCUGUUGAAGGCUAAAUUUUAAUUUAGACUUGCGUAAAAAAAAGGUGAACUAGUUUUGUUCAUUCAUCAUCUCAGGAUGUAGCAGAGUAUUGUAUGAUAAAUAGAAUUUGGUGUCUGUUUGAUGUUUCACUUCAGAAAACAUUUCUAUCGAAUAAUGAAGAAUCUCAAGUUUUGAAUUAAUUUCCAGCAGCAACGAGAAGUUAGCUCAAGUAAUUCCAGAAAAAGAUUCACAAAUUAUGAAACAAAUCAACUUCUUUAUAAAAAGAAAUAAAAUCCGCAGACUGGAAUCAGUGCAGAAUUGAGAAUUCCACUUUGCCUUUGUAAAAAUUUCAAUUAGCAUCUGUUUUACCUUUUGCUAGUUAGCAUCUUUCAGUUGAGAAUAAAUAAUUUCAGUCUGUUCAUUUCUUCAUUAUUCGCGAUGUUUCCUGAAAGUUAGCUUUACAAGUAUUGUAAAAUGCAGUCAUAUGAGGUCACUCCUUAGGUCAUCGCAGAACAGCUUCUUUAUGUGGAAAUUGUGAAGACUAGUAGAAUAAUAGAGAACCUCCUAGUCCUUGUCAAGAACUAACUAGACUUCUCCACAUCACUGUGUGGUUGAAAAUCCAGUCAUACAAAAAAGAAAACAAAAAAUUGGCAACUUCUGGUAUGCAUCAAAAAAUAGCUCAACAUCAUUCCCUUUGGAACAACAUUUUUCAGAGUUCAAAAAGCAAAAUAGAGUUUUCGAUAUGGAAGGCCAUUGAAGAAGCUAAGGCGCAAUUGGCAACACUUGAAAAUGAGCUCAAAGGCAAGAAAUUCUUAAGUGGAGAUGAGAUCGGACUAGUUGACAUUGCUUAAGAAGUUUUAAAAAUAUCUUAUUGUAUAUGAUUUACUGUAGAGAGUUUGAAGUGAGUAAUUAGGUAGCCUAUAUGUUAAUGUUAUGUUGAAAUAAUAGAUUUUUCGUGUUUCUUAUGCUUUUAUAAGGUCCUGGAUGCCAGAGUCAUGGCUCAUUUCUGGAUAAAAUUCAUUGAUGAUGAGAUUAAUCUUAUAGUACUCAAAUUUAGUACUAACUUGUAGUUUCAGAUAAUAAGUUUCUGUCCUAGUUAUUCUUAAAUCAUGGUUUAAUUCUAAUAGUUACGUAUCUGGAUGAGGUCACCCCAUAGGUCAUCAGAAACAAAUUUCUUUCGGUGGAGAAUGGUCAAAAUUGAACAACUGGAAACACCUUAAUUCUCUAUUGAUGGAGUUUAGUCUAGUGCAUAUGUUGUUAGGCCUGGCAAUUAUAUAACUAGCACUUGAUCAAAAAUUUAUCUUGCAGAGCUUAAGCAGCAAAGCAUAUUAGUACUUCAUUCAGCUGAUCUGUGUAACAAUGGGUGAUCAAGAAGUGAAGUUGUUUGGUUUAUGGGCAAGCCCUUUUAGCAAAAGGGUUGAAACUGCACUGAAAAUCAAGGGAAUCAAGUACGAAUAUUUUGAAGAAGAUUUGUCCAACAAGAGUUCUGAGCUGCUCAAAUACAACCCUGUUCAUAAGAAGCUCCCUGUGCUUCUACACAAUGGGAAGCCAGUCUGCGAGUCUCUUGUUAUUCUUGAGUACAUAGACGAGACCUGGAAGUCUGAACGUUCUUUACUGCCCGAAGAUCCUUAUGCCAGAGCCAUGGCACGUUUCUGGGCAAAAUUCAUCGAUGAUAAGGUACAUGCAUAUGUCUUUGUCCGGUCAGUCCUGCCAGACUAUCUUUGUCAGUUGAUCUAAUUUUACCUGCACCGGGAUUCCUGAUAAGCCAGCUACAAUAUUUAACUCAUUUGCCAUCAUUUUUUAAUUAUUUCUAUAAAUUCAGUCUAUAUCUUAAAUGUGUACUGAUAUAAUUGACGCGUUCUUUAAAUUAUGACUUUCACUCUUUCAG